rnacentral:lncRNA from 1 species
AAGCUGAGUCUGUUCCCUCCCCUUAGCUGCUCCUUCCUCCGCACCUCAUCCCACCAACUGGCUGAGAGACUGACUCCAGGCAGCUUUAGCUCACCUCAAGGAAACACUAAUGUGUGCCAGCCAAGUCCGGCUGUUCUUAAAAAUUAUAGGGCAAUCAAUGUUUAAUGUGAAUUUAGUGCUGGGUGGAAGCAUUAGACGCCGAGUCCCAGGGAGAUAACUCAUCUGUUUGUCCAUUUACCAAAUGUUGGGGUGCAUUUCCUCAAACCCCAUCUGCCUUAAGCUGGCUCUGGUACCGACCUCAAGAAGGCAGCCUUACUGGAAUCAAUCAUGCCCCGCUGCUGAUCGAUCACCUUAACGGAGGGAAAGAAGGAUUGGGACCCCUGUUCCCCAAGGCCACGGGACAUAAGAAGUUUCCGAGGGCAAAGGGAGCUCAGACGCAUCUCAGCAGAUUCUGCAAAUAAAGAGAAUCCGGACGUCUAAAAUUGGGAAUGCGUUUAGCCGUCCCUAGCCCACCAUGGGACCAAACCUGACAAGCCAGCUGUCUUACACAUUUAGAGACAACUUUCUAGUUUAUUGCAGCGAAGGGAAGGGGACACUCAUUUGCACAUAACCAAAUGUCUCUUUGCCGUGAGCUAGACCCGUAUUCAAAGGAGAUAAAGACCUACUUGUAAUAAUACACAAUAUUAUGUUCUCAGAAGGGGGUAUUACUGCGUCAGAGAUUCAUUUGUGCUUGUAUUUUCCUUUAUAUCCACAGUCCAAACUGAAGCAAAAAGAACUAUUAGAUUAAUCAAAGAAUUAUCUGUAGAUAUAUGCGAGGACAAAGAUCAUGACCCUGUGGCUCUCAGCCACCUCUCUGUGUGGCGUGUUACAUCACAGUGCAAUUUGCAGUUGAACAGAUUUAGCUCUGAGAUAUAUCAAAAACAAACAAGCAAAAAGAAAUCGCCUUUUUAUCUCCACUAUUCAAUGGGCUUCAGGAACAGUUGGUCUCAGCAAAAAACACCCUUCUCUGAAAACACCCGAGAAUCCAAAAUAUGAAUUAUAUAUAUGUGUGUGUGUGUGUGUACAUACAUAUAUUAAAGUAUAGACUUUAGAUGGACUUUAAUAUAACAUAUAUAUAUAUAUAUAUAUAUAUAUAUAUAAGUCCAUCUAAAGAACACAUCAGUUUAGGAUAUUUAUUGGGGGAGAAGAGAAGGCACCCAAACCAUAGAACCCUAUCAGCACUUGAAUUAAUUGAAAAUAAAUUUCCCCUCCCAGCACUAAACAAAUGAGGAGCUUUUUGUGUGAUAACACUCACACCCUCCUGUAAUAGGUUGCUAAGAUUCCACUAAUUAAAAAAAUCUCAUUUGAAGAUAGUUAAUGGUUUCUGCCUUUCUACAAAGCACUAGUCAGACUACAUUUCCCUGAACUUCGGGGUCUGUACUGAUUACUACUCAAUUAGUUUUGAUUCAAUUCACUGAAGAAAAAUGUCCAUUUCAUUAGUGUGGAGAAAUAACCACCGGACACAAAAUAUAUUUCCUGGCAUUGCCAUGGCAACCGGGUUGACACAGCUGAGCUCAGAAUGUUAAUGCUUUCCCUGGGACUGUGUUUUUAAGUCAGAGCGCGGCCAUUAAGCCUCGCUGGGUGAGGUAGGCUGAUGCCACAUCGCUGCUGGGAUUGGCAGGCAGAGGAGUCCAGAGGCCCCCCAGGAAGCCUCCCUUCCUGCCAUUCAUCUCCCCUGCCUCUCCCCUGGGGGGCUGGACAUAUCAGCAGCCCCAUGGACGGCUGCUUUGCAAGUCCCGAGAGCCCCCAUUCUACGCGACGUGUAAAAGUCCAGCUGGAAAGCGGAAACUGCAGUCCAUCAUCCAGAUGUGUUUCCCUACGUGUCGCCUGUUUUGUAGAUACGUGUGACUGUGAGGUGAUGGCCUGACUUCUCAGCUCUUCAUUAAUACAUUCCAGCCAGCCCGGGGUGGCCCAUAAGGACAGAGUGAGGUGAGGAACUGGAAAUAUUCCCCGCAACUCAGUAAAGAUGGCAGGCAACUUGGAGAACUCUGCCCCCUCAAGGGGAACGUGGUUCUUACCCACCCUCCCCAGGCCUGUGUAAGUACAGGAUGGAAAAGCAGAUUCUAGAUUACUGAAUUAAGGCAAAUGGAUCUGCUUUUUGGGGAUGGGGGCAGAAGCACCAAUACCAGUCCUCAAGAAUGAUAGAUGUGGCCAUUAUUUAAGGGCUAAUUAGGCAGAUAACCAAAUUAGAUCGUAACAAAAAUUCUGUUUGGGGGACUGGAUUUUCCAGGUGAAGUGGGUAAUUGCCCAUAUUGUCCCUGAAGCUAUGCCAGCAUAAUCUUGGACUAUCAACUAACGAUUAAUUGCUACGUGUGAUGUUCAAGGCUCCAAGCCUUAGGAUACAACGAUAAAAGAUGAGACACCAUACCCUCAAAGACCAGUUUUGUUGGGAGACGGUACACGAACGGCUGACAAGAAGCAACUCUUUCCUGAGUACUGACUAUGUCCCUGGUAGUGCACUAAGUGCUUUACAUGCAUUGUUUUAUUUAAUCCUCAUCCUGGCACCGUGGGGAGGAUGUGAGCCCCAUGUCAUAACCAAGCACACUAAGGCUCAAAAAGGUACCUGACUAGUCAAUUACUAGCUUAAUUACAGCAAGCGAUUGGUGGAACUAGAUUCAAACACAAGUCAGUCUCUGUUAGAACCACCACGCACGCUGCCUUUCAUGUACACAUGAAUAGCCAAGUGGUAAAUGUUUAGUGGCCGGUGAAUGCUACAGCGGUAAAUACCUGAUUUGAAAGGAAAGCAGCAAAGUCCUAUUGCAUUUAAUUAAUUUAACUUCCCUUUUAAAAUUUCACUUCAAAGGAAUGAGCAAAGCCAGAGCGUCCCAUCUCCUCCAUUAAGCAGAUGUUCUACACAUCGCCCUCCCACUCCUUCUGCAGACCCGAGGGAGCAGCAGAACCGCUCACGUGAGAGCCGCCAGAAGGCAAGGACCGGCGCGCCCAUUCUAUCACAAGAGCAAGCUCACAGUCAAUUAUCUCAUUGUCAGAGUCUCGGUGCCCCUGCCCUACUCCACCCCCUUGGGAUCCUGUGCCUCCGAGCUUCUUUAUUUGGAAUCAUCAUCAUGUCACCAUCAAAAAUAUUUAUUCAGCUUCUGCAUGUAUA